rnacentral:rRNA from 1 species
UACAGAGGGUGCAAGCGUUAAUCGGAAUUACUGGGCGUAAAGGGCGCGUAGGCGGCCUGUUAAGUCGAACGUGAAAUCCCCGGGCUCAACCCGGGAACUGCGUCCGAUACUGGCAGGCUUGAAUUCGGGAGAGGGAUGUGGAAUUCCAGGUGUAGCGGUGAAAUGCGUAGAUAUCUGGAGGAACACCGGUGGCGAAGGCGGCAUCCUGGACCGAUAUUGACGCUGAUGCGCGAAAGCCAGGGGAGCAAACGGG